CUUUUUGGGUUUAUCAAUUCUUUUAAUGCUAAUUGUGAUGGGACUUUUGGAUCAAUAAUUUCUAUAGCUGUUAUCCAACUAUGUAGGUCAUUAAUAAACAUGAGGCUAAUUUCUCAUGAAAUUGAAACAAAUCAUGUUUAAAACUCUAUUUCCAUCUAUAGUACUUGGGUCAAUUGGUUUAUAAUUGAUUUCACAUUUUUUAAAUAAAUCUUUAAUUGACAGAAAUCAAAUUAAUUGUGUCAUUUGCAUUUAUCUAGUUGCUGUAUCAUCCCUUUCCAUGCAAUCCAAUCUGGUCCCUUUCCUUUGCAAUCAAGAGAGAGAGAGAGAGAG
rnacentral:misc_RNA from 1 species